UACGUAGGGGGCAAGCGUUGUCCGGAUUUAUUGGGCGUAAAGCGCGCGUAGGCGGCGCGGUAUGUCGUGCGUGAAAUCUCCCGGCUUAACUGGGAGGGGCCGUGCGAAACUGCCGGGCUUGAGUGUGGGAGAGGAGAGUGGAAUUCCCGGUGUAGCGGUGAAAUGCGUAGAUAUCGGGUGGAACACCAGUGGCGAAGGCGGUGUUCUGGGCCGGAACUGACGCUGAGGAGCGAAAGCGUGGGUAGCAAACAGG
rnacentral:rRNA from 1 species